AUGCAAAUUGGCGAAAUUAGACGAAUUUGCAUAAAAAAUUUAAAAGUUUUAAAUUUUUAUAAAACUGAAUCAUUUUUUUCGAUUUUACAGAUUCGGUUCAAAUUUUUAAUAAACUGACCAAAAUAUACUUAUACAUUUUUCUCUCUUUUUAUUUCUUCUCGCGUUUUUUUUUUUUUCGCCGAAGAAGACGACAGAGACGAAGGCAGAAACGGUCCCCAUUGUCUCUGCACCUCACGUCCUCACCCUCGUCCAUGCACCCCUAGCCCUACUCGCCUCCGGCCACCGCAGCCGAUGAUAAAGAGAAAGUAUUUCCGAAAUGUUUAUUGGAAUUGUUUCUUAGGAAAUAAGUGAUAUUUACUGAAUAUAAUAAUAGUAGCUAAAUUAAGCUGAAGUUUUAACAAAUAGAUAAGUAUUUUAUAUUAUUUAAUAUGAUACCUAUUAAAAUAAUAUGCUUUGAAUUUGAGUUUUACUGUAUGUUUAUUUUGGUGUAAGUGGAGUGAUGGAACUCGAGUUCUAUCACUUCCGUUAUAUGUUUUGGUGUAAGUGAAAAAUAUAAUAUUGUAACUUAAGUUAUUGUAACUUAAGUUACGUUAGACCUCUACUUCACCUACUCUCAACUUCCUUCUCUAAAGUGCCGAACUCGACUUCCACCACACUCAACCUCUUCUAAAAUAUUUAUUAAACAAUAAAAUCUAAACUCUACUCCCCUUAUAAUAUAUUAGAAUUACCUUAUUUUUAAAUAAUAAUAAUAAAAUUAAUUAUAUAAUAAGUUAAAAUUUUAUAGCGGUAAAUUUACUAUUAUAUUUAGGAGAUAAUGGGAUCCACUUACUUACAUCAAAACAAACAACGGAACUCACAAAACUAAUUUCACCAGCACAAAGUUACAUCAAAACAAGCAGAAGAAAUAAUUGAAUUUAACUUUCAGACUAUACGAGUUACGUCAAAACAAACAACAAAAAAAUAAUCACACUUCAGGAAUCAAACACCACUGCACUUGACUUACGUUGGAUCUACAGAUUGGUCAAUCCAAACGGACCUAAGCUCCUUACUUCAUGUAAUUUCUACUCAUCUAUUUAUUCAGUUUUUGAGAUUUAUCAACUAAUAAAGAAUAUUUAAUAAAUAAAUUUUAA
rnacentral:lncRNA from 1 species